AGAGUUUGAUCAUGGCUCAGGAUGAACGCUGGCGGCGUGCCUAAUACAUGCAAGUCGAGCGGACAGAUGGGAGCUUGCUCCCUGAUGUUAGCGGCGGACGGGUGAGUAACACGUGGGUAACCUGCCUGUAAGACUGGGAUAACUCCGGGAAACCGGGGCUAAUACCGGAUAACUCAUUUCCUCGCAUGAGGAAAUGUUGAAAGGUGGCUUUUAGCUAUCACUUACAGAUGGACCCGCGGCGCAUUAGCUAGUUGGUGAGGUAAUGGCUCACCAAGGCGACGAUGCGUAGCCGACCUGAGAGGGUGAUCGGCCACACUGGGACUGAGACACGGCCCAGACUCCUACGGGAGGCAGCAGUAGGGAAUCUUCCGCAAUGGAUGAAAGUCUGACGGAGCAACGCCGCGUGAGUGAUGAAGGUUUUCGGAUCGUAAAGCUCUGUUGUUAGGAAAGAACAAGUACCGUUCGAAUAGGGCGGUACCUUGACGGUACCUAACCAGAAAGCCACGGCUAACUACGUGCCAGCAGCCGCGGUAAUACGUAGGUGGCAAGCGUUGUCCGGAAUUAUUGGGCGUAAAGCGCGCGCAGGUGGUUUCUUAAGUCUGAUGUGAAAGCCCACGGCUCAACCGUGGAGGGUCAUU
rnacentral:rRNA from 1 species